CUUUAUGUAGUGUUGUGGUGUCUCUCUUUAUGUAGUGUUGUGGUGUCUCUCUUGUCGUGUUUUGUCCAAAUGUUUAUUUUGAAUCCCAGCCCCCGGCCCGGCAGGGGGCCUUUUGCCUCUUGGUAGGCCGUCUUUGUGAAUAAGAAGUGGUUCUUAAUUGACUUGCCUCGUUAAAUCAAAUCAUGUUAGAGGACCUUUAACCUUUUAUCUGUUUGUGUGUGUGUGUGUGUGUGUGUGGACUGUAGGGGUGUGUUGUUUGGGGAAGUCCAGUUUGGUGGUUAGUUUGGGCAGCCAGUGUGUGCAGGGGUCGGUAUAUAGAUCUGUGUGUGUUUGGGAAAGUCCAGUUCUGUUGAUUAGUCAGUGACACAGUAGGCUGAUAUGCUUGUGUGUGUAUAGGUCUGUGUUCAUGUAGCUGUAUGUGCGUAGUGGGGUCGGUGUAUAGGACUGUGUUUAUGUAGCUGUAUGUACGUAGUGGGGUCGGUGUAUAGGACUGUGUGUUUAUGUAGCUGUAUGUACGUAGUGGGGUCGGUGUAUAGGACUGUGUUUUUAUGUAGCUGUAUGUACGUAGUGGGGUCGGUGUAUAGGACUGUGUGUUUAUGUAGCUGUAUGUACGUAGUGGGGUCGGUGUAUAGGACUGUGUGUUUAUGUAGCUGUAUGUACGUAGUGGGGUCGGUGUAUAGGACUGUGUUCAUGUAGCUGUAUGUACGUAGUGGGGUCGGUGUAUAGGACUGUGUGUUUAUGUAGCUGUAUGUACGUAGUGGGGUCGGUGUAUAGGACUGUGUGUUUAUGUAGCUGUAUGUACGUAGUGGGGUCGGUGUAUAGGACUGUGUUUAUGUAGCUGUAUGUACGUAGUGGGGUCGGUGUAUAGGACUGUGUUUAUGUAGCUGUAUGUACGUAGUGGGGUCGGUGUGUUUAUGUAGCUGUAUGUACGUAGUGGGGUCGGUGUAUAGGACUGUGUGUUUAUGUAGCUGUAUGUACGUAGUGGGGUCGGUGUAUAGGACUGUGUUCAUGUAGCUGUAUGUACGUAGUGGAGUCGGUGUAUAGGACUGUGUGUUUAUGUAGCUGUAUGUACGUAGUGGAGUCGGUGUAUAGGACUGUGUGUUUAUGUAGCUGUAUGUACGUAGUGGGGUCGGUGUAUAGGACUGUGUGUUUAUGUAGCUGUAUGUACGUAGUGGGGUCGGUGUAUAGGACUGUGUGUUCAUGUAGCUGUAUGUACGUAGUGGGGUCGGUGUAUAGGACUGUGUGUUUAUGUAGCUGUAUGUACGUAGUGGGGUCGGUGUAUAGGACUGUGUGUUUAUGUAGCUGUAUGUACGUAGUGGGGUCGGUGUAUAGGACUGUGUGUUUAUGUAGCUGUAUGUACGUAGUGGGGUCGGUGUAUAGGACUGUGUGUUUAUGUAGCUGUAUGUACGUAGUGGGGUCGGUGUAUAGGACUGUGUGUUUAUGUAGCUGUAUGUACGUAGUGGGGUCGGUGUAUAGGACUGUGUGUUCAUGUAGCUGUAUUUACAUAGUGGGGUUGUAAAGUGAAUACAGCUCUUAGAGAAGAAAAA